UUGACCCCAAAGGGGUCGAGACCCACAGGUUGAGAACUGCUGCUCUAUGUGAACCAACAAUAGCUAUUGGGUGAGGUGUGUGCAUCAGUUUUCUGAACCAUAAACACACAGAAGAGCCUGGGACUGGAGAAGUGUCUGUUCCCUUGCUAUCCUCAUGGAGGAGGACAUGAAAAGCCAAUAAAAACACCUGGAAAAUUGAGAUCUGGUUCUGCGAUGGACAGUUCCUGGAGGAGGGAUAGUUUAGGAAGGGCAGCCAGAGAAGUCUUGCUGAAGAAAUGGUUGCUACUUUUAAAAAGACUUCCUCGCUAUAAUUUGGAGACUUAGUUUGUGGAAGCAACCAGCUUCAUUAAGGUCCCAACUGCCACCAAUAAGGCCAGCUCUGGCUUAUGGAUGCCACACACAUCUCUUCUGGUGCCCUUCAGACACCCAGAGCUGUUCUGUCAGGGUUUGAAGUCGUGUGAGUCAGAACCAGUUUCUUCUGCAACUCUCUGAGAAGACGUGAUGUUGGACGAACACUCCGCACCUCUCUUCAUCUUCUCAAGGCGAAGCUAAGAACUUACGCAGAUGGAGAGUUGCAUUCUGAGUGCCAGUAUUGCCGUAAGCAUGGUGGUGCAUAUCUGUAAUGGCAGGACUCGAAAAGAACAGGCAGAGGAUUGCCACGGUUUGAAGCCAGCUGGUAUAACUUAAAGUUCUUGGAAGAUCCACCUCUAAUCUGGGCCACACUUUAGGCUGGCAGCCUAUAUAAAGGACAUGAAAGAAGUUAUCUCUUUGUCUGCUUGCUGUCAGUCUCUCUAGCAAGUCCAUUCCUUCACUGGCAUUAGAGACUACUUCUUUGAGAUUCUGGUAUAUAUAGAAGACCAGCAGAGACAUCCAGCCCUGUGGACUGAAUAACUACUGGAUUCUUGGACUUUGCAUUGGUAGGCAGUCAUUGUUGGACUAGCUUGACUGCAGCCUGUAAGCCAUUCUAAUAAAUCCCCUCAUAGGAGCUUAGAAGAUAAGAAUGUUGAGAGUAGUGUAGACAUUAAAGGCCUGGCUUGUAAGGUUUCAGAGGGAAGCAAAGACUCUACUGGACCAUAUGUGUGAAGACUCCGUCGUGUCUGAUCAUUUGGAACUGAAGGGUCAGUUGUGAAACCUUUGGGUUACUGGGACAAUUGAUGAUGGCUAUUGGACCUAAGAAAUUAGUGGUGAUUAAGAAGAGACCAGCAUCACUGAGGUUAAAUCUUCUGGGAGGUGUUUUUUCAGGGUCAGCACACAGAAGCUGUGUCCCAAAGACAGUCAAGGUUGUACCUUGUGCUAGUAGCUGAACUUGGUAGUGUAAGAGUCAUCUAGGUGGUACUGGUUUUGAAGAUAUGAAGGGAUCAUGGACAGCAGCUGAGGCUGGGCACUAUAAAAAUCUAUUGGUGAAGCUAUUGGUGAAGGUGAAGCCUCAGUAGCAGUUGAAGGCCGAGGACUAAGGGGCCAUGCAGAGAAGUUGAGGUUUGGCUCUAUGAAGAGAGCUCAGGAGAGGCUAUUGGUGAAAGUGCAGCCCAGUUACAGCAGAAGACCCCAGCAUUUUGGAGAUGCUAGUACCAUGGGAUGAUCAUCAAGAACAGCAACAGCAGUGGAGUGGAGCCUGGUGGAGCUUAGAAGACAAGCUGUUUGUGCUGCAGAGGGUGGAGCCGGAGAAGUGACCCAAGUCCUUUGGAGGAGCCCAGAAGAUUAUGAGUGGAUCCCAGACAUUAGACACUGAGUCAUUUACAGUUGGGGUUUGUUUUUUCUUUGAUCUGAUUGUGACUGUGCCCUGGUUCUUCCCUCUUGAAGUAGGAAAGUAUUUAUAUUUUGAUUUUAUAGGCAUUCACAGUUGAGAGACUGAAUUUAAAAAGAGAUUUAAAAUUUUAAAAGAGACUUCAGAUUUUUAAAUAGACCAAAUUAAAGUGUUUGAAUUUUGUUUUAAACUGUGGCACUUUUAGAACUCGGAAUAUUUUAUAUUUUGAUGUUCAUAUUAAUGUGUGCCUUUGGGGAUGGAUGAACAAGAAAGGAAAGGUUGUAGCUUAACAGUGAUGUGUUUAUGUGUCAAGUUGACAAGGGGUCAUUUCUUCUGGCUAGUUUUAUGUCAACUUGACACAAGCUAGAGUCUUCAGAGAGGAGGGAGCCUCAAUUGAGAAAAUGCCUCUAUAAGAUUGAGCUUUUAUGCAAGCCUGUAGGCCAUUUUCUUGGUCAGUGAUUGAUAGGGGAGGGCCCAGCCCAUCAUGGGUGGUGCCGUCUCUGGGCUGGUGGUCCUAGGUUCUAUAAGAAAGCAGAUUGAGCAAGCCAUGUGGCACAAGCCAAUAAGCAGCACUCCUCAAUGGCCUUGGCAUUAGCUCCUGCCUCCAGGUUCCUGCCCUGCUUGAGUUCCUGUCAUGACUUCCUCUAGUGAUGAACAGUGAUGUGGAAGAGUAAGCCAAAUAAACCCUUUCCUCCCCAAAUUGCUUUUGGUCAUGCUGUUUCAUCACAGCAAUAGUAACCCUGGCUAAGACAUGCAUAUACUUCAACAAAUUGGUUGUAACUCAUGCUUUUUAUGUUUGUGUCUAAAUCUUCAUACUAAAAGCACAUUACAUAUUAUGAUUACAGUAUUAAAGUAUUAUAAAGCUGAUUUAUUUUACCAGUAAGUUUUAUACUUUUUGAUGUUUUUGUGCUGCACAUUAAUGUCCUUUGCUUUCAUCUUGAGGAAAUAUUGUAAGGUAAGCCUGUUGGUAAUAACUCUCUCAGCUGUUGCCUGAGAAAUCUUUAUGUUUUCCUUGUUCCUGGGACAGUUUUGCUGGGUAUAUUGCUCCUGAUUUGAAUCUUUUCUAUUUUAGGAUUUGACUGUGUCGUCCCACUCCUUCCUGGCUGUUAAAAAUGGCUGUUAGUAAUA